rnacentral:lncRNA from 1 species
UAUGGAAUCUGCAUUUAGACCUAACUUAAGGAUACUCUACUCAUAUAGAAUCUGAAAUCUCCCAAUAUGAUACUAAUUCCAACUAUAUUUCUACUAGAAUACAAAUAGUUGGUAAGAGUUUGUAGGGUCCUAGUAUGAAAAUAAGAGAGGUACUGAACUCAUUUAGAACAGUCAAACAAAAAUUCGAGAGAGCGGUAGCUUCUUUUUAUCCUCAGCAGCAACAAGCAAAGAGAAGCCAUGAGAAGACAAAACAUGUCAAGCAAUUGGAAGCUCGCCACAGUCACUGAUUGUCACCUUCUUUAGGGGACGAUCACCACGAUCAGUCUCCUGUGAUUCAAUCAACCUAACAAUGUCCAUGCCUUCCAAAACUUGGCCGAAUACAACAUGCCUCUGAUCCAGCCACGGCGUCUGCCAAUGUCAUGAGACAAUUAAGUUUAUUAUUAUGUCAAGAAACAAGCACCCUAUAAGAGAGAAUUAAAAGUAUAGAAGAAUGAAUACCUUGACAGUGCAUAUGAAAAACUGACUCCCAUUGGUGUUGGGACCAGCAUUUGCCAUGCUAACAGCUCCUGGUCCGGUAUGAGACACUGGAGAUAUUGUACAUGAGUAUUAUUAUAUUUGCAAUAUUGCUUGAACUAAUCAUUUGGCAGCCUAAACUAAACUAAACUAAAAUAAAAUAAACACAGUGAAGGGGGACAGUAUCAUGAAACAAAGACAGCAGAAAUGAAAUAAGAAUAAUAGAAGAAAGGGGUAAGCAAGCAAGCAAACAGAGCUCACGAUUAAAAUUCUCAUCUUUGAAAGUACGACCAUAGAUACUUUUGCCUCCAGUUCCCUGCAAUAGAUAGAUAAGUUGAAGAGAAUGAGAAGAAAUGAAUAAAAAAGGAAGGAGAUUGUAAUGAGUCUAAAAGUUAGAAGGGGCAUUAUGGGAAAUAGGAAUAUGGACCCUUAUAAAUAUGAGAAAAGCCAAGGAAAUAAGUAUGAAAUGAUUGAUGUAACUUCUUCUUCUUCUCUCCCGAGAAGGCUUUCAAUUGGAGAAGGCUUUCAAUUGCAAUUAUAGAUAGAAGUGGUGGUAAAGGUUUUUAAAAAUUUGUAAUCGCAGCUGCAAAAUUAGGGUUCUUGGCCUCCCUUCACAAGCAUCAAGAUGGAGUUAAAGAUUAACUCUUGACAGCAAGGUAUAUCUUGCUCUUUCUCUCAACAUCCACUUGGCUUUCUUACCUUUAAUAUAUGAAUAUGACUCGACGAGUUCCAUUUGGUUUAUAAAAUAUGAGCUGUAUUUUUUACAAAAAUUUAAUGGUGAUUUUUGUUUAUAGGUUAUCCAUAUUGUUUUUUGUAGUGUAGAUAUUGUCUUCCCUAACUUUCAUCCAUAGAAUAUCAACAAAACCAACAUGGUUGUCUAUGUUGAUAUUCACAUUAUUUUGGGUUCCCUCAUUUUAUUCAAUGAUUUAAAACUUUUCUUACUUUCAAUGAAAACUGAUUUUGUUUGUGACAUAAUUUUUUAUUUCAACCUUACAUGUCACUAAUAGUGAAGGUUUUCUGGGUUUGGGAGGUUUUAAUAUAGGAAUUGUUUGUCACUUUCAUUUGCUCAUGAGAACAUGCCACAACCACUCUUUUGUGAAUCAAUUUUUCUUCUAAUUACUUUUUCCUAUUCCACAUGUUUGAUAUGUUUAUGUGAACUAUCACUUAUAAUUUGGUUUUUUAAGCAAAGCAAUUUUAAAAAACGAUUUCAAAUUUGCAAUACUCCAUAUAUCAUUAUUAAUUUUUUAAGUGUCCGACUUUUGAUUUUGAAUUUUCGCUAUAAUAGUAUUUUUUUCUUCUCUUUUUUUGUUUUUUUUUUAAUCCAUGACUAUUUACACUUCUUCUAAAGAUAUUAACAAGUUUCUUUUCAUGCUUCACAUAAUUAAGUAACCUUUCUAUUCUAUUUUGAUUUAGUUUAUUUCAUUGAUAUUUUGUACUUGAGGUUAUUGUUUGAAGUCUAAUGUUUUCAUAUGACAUUGAACAUUUAUUUUGCUUUCAACUGUUACUAAAAUAGUCAGGAUAAUUUGACAUGUUUUUCAGAUGAAAAGUAUUGUAGGCAAGUAAGAAGUCUCACCGUGCUAGAAUGAAAUAUUUCCAACUGUGUAGUUAGAUAAAUAUUAUGUGAUUGAUACUCUUAGGUGUGUGCUCUGUAAAACAUUAUUUAUCUACUGUCAGUUCUAAAGUUUGAAAGAAUAAAUUAUUUUAUCUUAUAAAUAUGUUUCUAAGAUCUAUUGUUAUGUUUCCUUAAAAAAAACGAUCUAUUGUUAUGUUCUGAUAUCAUUUUCAAAAGCAAUGUACAACUUUUUCAAGUCUUUCACGGUGUUUGUUGAUAAUUCAUUGCCUGGACUGAAACAUUUUCCAUAAAUAGCCGCAUAUUGUAAAGCUAGAUAUUUUUUAAUAAGACUAAAGUUUUAGUGUGGUUAAUUGCAUAAAUAAUAAUUAUUAGUACUAAUAAAUAAAGAGAAAUUUAGGGUGCACAAUGGCUCAAAUUGUUGAAUAACUUAGGUUAAGUAAUUGCAACACUCCAAAAAAAAAAAGUAAUUGUAACACAACACUCACCUUCAAUCUGUUAACAUUGUAGGCACUUCUAUAGAAGAUACUCACAUGAUGGGGAUCCCUUAGGUUAGUUGUAUUUAAAUUCAACUAUGAAGAUAAUGGAAAGAAAAUAAGUUUGAGGUCCGACCAUUGUGUUCCAUUUAACUUUUUUUUUUUCCAAAACUAUAUAAGCUCUAUUAGUUAACUUUUUCUUUUGAAAGGAUUAGUUUAACUUAAUUAUUAUGACAAAAGGAAUGAUGAUUUAAUUUUUCCAGAGCAUCUUUCAUAUAAGUAAGUAAGUCACGUUUAUUCUUUUUUUGAUAGGUCACUUAUGCUUAUUCUCUUUUCCUAUUUUUAAUUCUUCAAUAUUUUUUCCCUAUUGCAGACAAAGAAGAAAGUGCCAUUGUUGCUACAAAACUCAGGGUGGAGCUAAUCUCAAAUGAAGCUUAAUGUGUAUUUUUUCUUUUGUGACAUUGUGCAUACAAAUUGUAAAUAACAGUGGCGUGGUAAAGUUUUAUCUCAGAACAUUUUGCACCACCCGGUUUAGGUGAAAAGUUUUAUCUCAGAACUCUACUAAAUUAUGUCAAGGGUCCUACAUCUUUCGAAGACAUAAAAACGGUGGAUAACGUCAAAUACUUUAGUUUCAAAGACACUUGCUUUGCGAUGGGACUGUUGGACGAUGACAGAGAAUUCAUUGACGCCAUAAUAGAGGCAAGUUUGUGGGGUACGGGCACCUACUUGUGAAGACUUUUUGCAGCAUUGACGGUUUCUGAUCAGCUGUACAGACCAGAGGUUGUUUGGAAUAGCACUUCGCCUAAUCUAAUUGAUGACAAUUUGCACAAACAAAGACGUGUGCUUGGUGCGCCUGGUAAGUCUGAUUGUUAAAUCUGUAUAGUUUUUUUUAAGGUUAAAUUUACUUAUUUGUCUGGAUAGCUAAUCUGAAUAUAUCACUUAUUUGUUAAUUGCCGGUUAAUAUAGAGAGCGAAACUUAUGCAUCAGCAUUGUACUACAUGCUUAAUUCAUAUUGCAAACCUUUGUGUAGGAAGAUUAGAUACUAGCCAGCCUGAAUUACACUAUAUUUCAUGACUAAUAUACUCAAAGAAAUUUGUAGUUUGUUGGUGUAUAGUGGAAAAUAACGUUAACUAUACAUGACUCAAUAUUAAGAGUAUAUAAUUAUAUUAGUUUACUUAAGGCAGGGAACUCAAAAUUUUGUCAAUUAUACUGGCUUAAUUCGUAUAUUGUUAAUUGUACAUGGCAUUGUCAAGAGUUACUUCAAGAGAAGGUUUGAAGAUUUUAAUAUCUAAUGACGAUGGUGAAGACGAUUGUGUAACAUCUAAUGUGGUUUAUAGAGAGGUUUUUCGUAAUCUUUCUUAAUUUAUGUCAUUUGUAUGAUUGAACAUAUUUAUAGUCUUUUUAUUUGUAUGAAUGAUGUAAUACACUAUCUUUAUUACCAUACUAAUGACUUAUUGCUAUGAAGGCUUAUACAAAUUUCUAUAUUAUUGUCGGUUUCUACAAUCUAUAUGACCCGUGCGCCGCACGGAUCGGCGUUCUAGUAGAUGUUAAUGGCUAUUUUUUCUAUACCAAAGGGUCUCAACAAUUCCAACAAUGGGACCCGGGUGGAUGUUCUCUUGUUCGAGGGCAAGGUUUAUGUGACUUUAGCAGUUACUUGAAAGUCACUAGUACUACUACUCUUCAACAUUAUUAUCUUGGCUUCAACCUUGAGGACAAGGUUGAUUUUAAAGGGGAUGGUAAUGUAAUGAGUCUUAGAGUUAGAAGGGGCAUUAUGGGAAAUAGGAAUAUGGACCCUNAACUCAUCAAACUCCCCCACACUUGAAUCUUUGCUUGUCCUCAAGCAAAAGGCAUAAUCAUGGUAGCAUAAAACAACAUUAUCAUAUGACAAUUAAAUCAAAUCACAUGUCUCCUCAAAGGCUUUUAUUUCAAGAGUACACUAAUCACAAACUCAAGCAUUUCUUGUAAUCCUUUUUCAACCCAACAAUCAAGUCUUAAGUGAGUGUGUGUGUGUAGUCCAACCCUUUUCUUGCUCCUGUAUAAGAUAGAUAUAAUGAGGAACAUGUUCUAAUCCCAGUACUAAACCAACCAAGAAUUUUUUUUUAUUCAUUUCAUAUAAGAGAGAUGAGAGUUUUUUUGUGACCUUUUGAUCUUUUGCCAAUUACAUAUUUUGGGUACUUUAUUUAAGCAACAACACCUUCACGUAGGAGGUUGGAGGGCCUACCCCCUUCCCCAAUCUAGAUUCAAUGGUGCCCCUUAAAACAUCAUCUUCACGUAGGAGGUUGGAGGGCCUACCCCCUUCCCCAAUCUAGAUUCAAUGAUGCCUUUUAAAGUUUUUCAAGAUAACAUUAUCUUCACGUAGGAAGUCAGAGGGCCUACCUCCUUCCCCAAUCUAGAUUCAAUAAUGCAACCUUGAAAUAAAUUUUAGCUUGGCUUUUUAUAAACUCCUUUAUACUAACUUAUACUAUUUUUACUUUGAGAAUUUUUAAAGGUUAACGUACCAUUAAAAUUAGAACGCAUUUCCUUAAAAUACCUAUUCAUACAUUUACUCAAUGGAAGCAACUUGUGCAUUUCUCAUUGGAGGUUUUAUUCACUUUAAAACAAGAUGUGGGUAUAUCAGGAGAACUUAAAACACAAGAGUUUACUUUCAUGUACAAGAAACGACCAAUAAGAGGAGACAAUAAAAANAAAUACUUCAGAAUGUUGUUGUGUUCUUGAGAAUACUUCAGAAUGUUGUUGUGUUCUUCAUGAAUUUCUGGGUUGUACUUAAAGAUUUGCUUUACACGACUUCAGAAUGUUGUUAGAUCAGAUCUUCUUUGAAAUAUGUCUAGGAGCGCGUGCAGGAUCUCAUAAAGUGGUGCUGUCACUUUGUAACGCCCUCUUUAAUUAUUUGAUUAUUUUUAUAGAGUUUAGAGUUUAUUUAGAUGAUUUAUGUGAUUUAAAUGAUUAUAUGAUGUGUUGUGAUUUAUUAAGUGGCUUAUUUUAUUAUUUAAUAGAAUAAGAUUUGAAAAUAAAAUAAAUAUUGAGAUGAAGGGUUGUUUUGAGAAUUUAGAGAGUUUUGUGGGAAAAUGAGGAAAUAAGAUAAAAUAGAUGGGAAAAGAUAAAUAGGAGAAAAUAGGUUUAGAAAAGUUUUCACGUACAACCAGUUUUGGAGAAAAGGGAGAACAAGAGGAGAGAAGAACCAAGAGAGAGCUGCUGAUCGAUUUUCUUAAGGUAAGAGUGAGACUAACAUUCAAUCUUCUUAAGCCUUUAAUUCUGAUGAUUAGAUUUAACAUGUUGUAGGGUUAGUUUUUGAUAAUUGGAAAUUAGGGUUAAGAGUGAUAAUUGAGGAUUAGAUGAUGGAAACUUGUAGAAUUGAUGUAGAAAGUGUGUACAGACCUCAAAUAAUUCAUAGUGUGAUGUUUAGAAUCAGUUUUAAGCUUAGAACCAUGUGAAUUGAUGCAUUUUCGUGAAAAUCUGCAUUCUGCCCGAGCUGACAUUCAUCGCUCGCCCUGGCGAGGGAUGAUCCUCGCCACACGAGUGAUGAACUUCAUCGCUCGCCUCGCGAGUGACCCUUAGUUACUCGCCAUAGCGAGCAGAUCACUCGCCAUAGCGAGUUGACCAGUGAGGAAACCUGAUUUUGUGAUUCAACUCCUUUAGUCGAGCUUUAGAUGAUUUUGAGUGCCUGAACAUGUAUAAUAAUAAUUAGGCAAGUCUUUAGAUUGAAAUUGAACACGGGGAAGUUAAAAAUGAGAUUUUUGGGUGAAAAAUGUCAAGUUCCCGAGAGCACCCAGUUUCAGUUCGCUAAGGCGAGUAGCUUACUCGCCAAGGCGAGUAGCCAUUUUCCUGAACUCGCCAUAGCGAGUAGAGUGGCUCGCCUCGCGAGCUGCAGAGAGACAUAAAACCUUGUAUAGGUUUUUGCGAUCUUUGUCGCACGAGAUGUUAUGAGUUGAUCCUUGGGGUAGGAAUGAAGGUUGAUUAUAAUAUUACUGAUGUUCAGUGACUCUGAUAUAAUAUGAUUUGAUGUUGUUAGUAAUGUGAUGUAGUUGUAUAUGCAUUAUGUGAAUUAUAUAAGAUGUUUAAGUUGAUGUUGAUUAUUAUUUGGUAUUGUUAUAUCUUGAGAUGUUAUGUGCUGCCUAUGUUGUUGUUGUAUAUUAAUUAAGCUGCAUGAUGAUGAGAUAAAAUCGCAAGUGCACGGUCUUACCGAAGUAGUAUGAAAAGAGUAUCGUUUCGACAGGGAGUAGUUUAAUUCAAUUAACCUUUGAUGAUGAUUAGAGGAGAAACGAGUUGUAAGUUGGGGGUUUCAAACGAUUGAAAGAUAAUAAUAUAAAAGGAGCCUUGGGAUCAUUGGUUCAUCUAAAUAACAAGUCCUUCACAAACCAAACUAUAAGCUUANUUUGUUGUACUUGCAUUUUAAAUUAAGAAAAUAAAAAUAAAUUAUUUUACAAAAUUUUGUUUUUCCAAAAAUAAUAAAAAAAAUAGUUAAUUGUAUUAUUUUAAUUUAAUUAUAAUCGAUAAUUUUAUGUAAUUAUAAAAACAAAAAUUAAAUAAGAAUAAAAAAUAAAAAAUGAUGGGGUAGAGUGUUGAAUGAAAAACCAUUGGAGAGUGUAAAAGUUGAAUGAGUGUUGAAUAAGAGAGAGAAAAUGACGUGGAGUGUUAGGAAUUGAAAAAGAAAGUGGGGUGUUGAAUGGUGUAAACCAUUGGGGAUGGUCUAAGUUAUUUCUUUGGCAUCAAAUCAAAGAGGCGAAAACAAUAGGUGGGAAGAGGAGCAUACGAGACAGACAAUUAGGUGUGUAAGUGGACAGAGGAAACCCUGGACAUCAACGUCAGUAAUCAACACUCCAAUCUUGCAGACUAGUGCUAGUGACAGUUAAGCUAGAUCCUUCUACAUUUAAAAAACAAUCAAAUGGAUAUCAUCUUAAAAUAUUUGAAGGGUAUCUCUGGAAAGAGCAAGAGGAAGUUCAUUCCAAAUCUUCUAGAACAUUCUCAAUGGAUCAGGAAAUAAGUGAUAGAAUCACUCACAGAAUAUCAGAGACAACUCAUUCACAAUGUUAUUAAAUUUGACCCAGCGGUUAGAAGAUGACUGCUAGAGUUCCCUCAUAUGGAAUCUGCAUUUAGACCUAACUUAAGGAUACUCUACUCAUAUAGAAUCUGAAAUCUCCCAAUAUGAUACUAAUUCCAACUAUAUUUCUACUAGAAUACAAAUAGUUGGUAAGAGUUUGUAGGGUCCUAGUAUGAAAAUAAGAGAGGUACUGAACUCAUUUAGAACAGUCAAACAAAAAUUCGAGAGAGCGGUAGCUUCUUUUUAUCCUCAGCAGCAACAAGCAAAGAGAAGCCAUGAGAAGACAAAACAUGUCAAGCAAUUGGAAGCUCGCCACAGUCACUGAUUGUCACCUUCUUUAGGGGACGAUCACCACGAUCAGUCUCCUGUGAUUCAAUC